rnacentral:rRNA from 1 species
GACGAACGCUGGCGGCGUGCUUAACACAUGCAAGUCGAACGGAAAGGCCCUGCUUUUGUGUGGUGCUCGAUUGGCGAACGGGUGAGUAACACGUGAGUAACCUGCCCUUGACUUUGGGAUAACUUCAGGAAACUGGGUCUAAUAUCGGAUAGGAGCUCCUGCUGCAUGGUGGGGGUUGGAAAGUUUCGGCGGUUGGGGAUGGACUCGCGGCUUAUCAGCUUGUUGGUGGGGUAGGGGCUUACCAAGGCUUUGACGGGUAGCCGGCCUGAGAGGGUGACCGGCCACAUUGGGACUGAGAUACGGCCCAGACUCCUACGGGAGGCAGCAGUGGGGAAUAUUGCACAAUGGGCGGAAGCCUGAUGCAGCAACGCCGCGUGCGGGAUGCCGGCCUUCGGGUUGUAAACAGCUUUCGCCUGUGACGAAGAGUGCGUGACGGUAAUGGGUAAAGAAGCACCGGCUAACUACGUG